CCUACGAGAGGCUGCAGUGAGGAAUAUUGGUCAAUGGGCGGAAGCCUGAACCAGCCAAGUAGCGUGCAGGAUGACGGCCCUACGGGUUGUAAACUGCUUUUAUACGGGAAUAACGCGCCUUACGUGUAGGGCUUUGCAUGUACCGUAUGAAUAAGGACCGGCUAAUUCCGUGCCAGCAGCCGCGGUAAUACGGAAGGUCCGGGCGUUAUCCGGAUUUAUUGGGGUUAAAGGGAGCGUAGGCCGCAUGUCAAGCGUGCUGUGAAACGUCCGGGCUCAACCCGGGCCUUGCAGCGCGAACUGGCAGGCUUGAGUCGGCGAGAGGCAGGCGGAAUUCGUGGUGUAGCGGUGAAAUGCUUAGAUAUGACGAAGAACCCCGAUUGCGAAGGCAGCUUGCUGCAGCGGAACUGACGCUGAUGCUCGAAAGCGCGGGUAUCGAACAGGAUUAGAUACCCGUGUAGUC
rnacentral:rRNA from 1 species